UUUUAAUAAUUGAUUUAAAUUAAUUUUAGAUUUAAUGUAAAUUAUUUGAUUGGGGUGAUAAAAAAAUUUAAUUAACUUUUUUUUUUAUUAAACAAAUAUUUUUGAAAAUAUUUUUAAUAAUUUAAUUUUAUUAAAAAUUAAAU
rnacentral:rRNA from 1 species